AUUGGGACAAAAUUCUUGUUUACCUUUUUAGAUUCCCUCAGUUUCCAUGUUUCUUAUCUCUCUUUGCACAAUUCCCUUUUCUCAAGACUUCUCCACUUUCAGACUUAGAUGAAAUAGCAUUAAAGAUGAUACAAGAUGGCCACACGUAUAUGACUGGUGCGACUCAGCCCUGCUCCUCCUGUUUUUCCCUCCAGCUGGCUGGCUCAGGAAUACUCUCACAGUGAUGGCAGAAGAGCAAAUCUGGAAGUUCAAACACUCAAAUGUGUUGUUGGAUUUCUGCAUGCAUCACAUGGGCUAACAACUGGUCAAAGCAAAUCACAUGGCCAAACUAAAAAUCAAAGGCCUGGAAGACAGACAAAGUGCUAUUGAAGGUUACAGAAGAAUAAAGAAGUUCUGAAUAGAACAGAAUCUUUCAUAAGCCAGGGGUUAUAACGACCAACAGAGACUCCACAAAACCAUUUACUCACAGGAGGAAAUAUGGCAUGGAUUGGAUUAGAAGUGGAAAGACUAAUGCAUUUUUUGUCCGUAAGGAUUAGAAGAAAAAUGGUUCUCUCAGCUCUGCAAAAAGUUCACAGAAUGUUGAGCCAUUCUCCAAGCAAUUGUGUUCGACAGGACAACUUAGGAAUCAAAUUAGAAAGGCUGCACCUUGCCAUAACCAUGCGUCAUCUGGUGCUGCCUUUUCUGGACAGCACACACCCACACAAAAUGCUGGAGACUCUCAUACUGGCAGUUUAGUUCUUCAAACUCACAACAGUAGAAAGUGUAUGCUGCAAAAUCUGAAGAAUUGAUAUUCUUUUACCAUAAGUGAGAAAUCUCAGCUUCUGAGUGAUUCUGUAAAUUCAUCAUGUUCACAUAGUAAUAAAUUGUCUGAAAGAAUUUGUACCCACUUCAGAGUGGCUCCAGUGUCAGUAAUUUUCCCAUUAUGUAACUUUGUUGCCCAAGAAGAAUGAGAAAUGAAACCUAUCCUUCAAUUCACUACUGAGAAAAUUGAAGACAAAAAUCACUAACUGAUAUGUCCUGAGACUUAUGAUUAGAUAGUACAGGAGUCAGAAAGGAGAAUCUAGGUUACCUGAAACCCUGUUCUGAGGAUAAAAUGGAAGGGGCUGUAUAAUGUGAUUAAUGGCACAGGACAUUAGAGGAAUAUCAGUGUUUA
rnacentral:lncRNA from 1 species